rnacentral:rRNA from 1 species
UACGUAGGGUCCGAGCGUUGUCCGGAAUUACUGGGCGUAAAGAGCUCGUAGGUGGUUUGUCGCGUUGUUCGUGAAAACUCACAGCUCAACUGUGGGCGUGCGGGCGAUACGGGCAGACUUGAGUACUGCAGGGGAGUCUGGAAUUCCUGGUGUAGCGGUGGAAUGCGCAGAUAUCAGGAGGAACACCGGUGGCGAAGGCGGGUCUCUGGGCAGUAACUGACGCUGAGGAGCGAAAGCGUGGGGAGCGAACAGG